rnacentral:rRNA from 1 species
AUUGAACGCUGGCGGCAGGCCUAACACAUGCAAGUCGAGCGGAGCGGCGGACGGGUGAGUAAGGCAUAGGAAUCUGCCUGGUAGUGGGGGAUAACGUUAGGAAACGGGAGCUAAUACCACAUACUAUCAAAUGAGCCUAGGUCGGAUUAGCUAGGUGGGGUGGUAAAGGCCUACCAAGGCGACGAUCCGUAACUGGUCUGAGAGGAUGAUCAGGCACACUGGAACUGAGACACGGUCCAUACUCCUACGGGAGGCAGCAGUGGGGAAUAUUGGACAAUGGGCGACAGCCUGAUCCAGCCAUGCCGCGUGUGUGAAGAAGGUCUUCGGAUUGUAAAGCACUUUAAGUUGGGAGGCGUUACCCACAGAAUAAGCACCGGCUAACUUCGUGCCAGCCGCCGCGGUAAUAC